GCCCCAUACAUUGGGAUAGCCCUGGGAAACUGGGUGUAAUACCGAAUAACACUUUGAAAUGGCAUCUUUUCAAAGUCAAAACUCCGGUGGUAUGGGAUGGGCCUGCGUCUGAUUAGCUAGUUGGUAAGGUAAUGGCUUACCAAGGCGACGAUCAGUAGCCGACCUGAGAGGGUGAUCGGCCACACUGGAACUGAGACACGGUCCAGACUCCUACGGGAGGCAGCAGUGGGGAAUAUUGCACAAUGGGCGAAAGCCUGAUGCAGCAACGUCGCGUGAGUGAUGAAGGCUUUCGGGUCGUAAAACUCUGUCCUANAGGAAGAAUAAUGACGGUACUUUAGGAGGAAGCCCCGGCUAACUACGUGCCAGCAGCCGCGGUAAUACGUAGGGGGCAAGCGUUAUCCGGAUUUACUGGGCGUAAAG
rnacentral:rRNA from 1 species